rnacentral:rRNA from 1 species
AAGGGUGGCGUAGGCGGCCUGUUAAGUCAGGGGUGAAAGACGGUAGCUCAACUAUCGCAGUGCCCUUGAUACUGAUGGGCUUGAAUGGACUAGAGGUAGGCGGAAUGAGACAAGUAGCGGUGAAAUGCAUAGAUAUGUCUCAGAACACCGAUUGCGAAGGCAGCUUACUAUGGUCCUAUUGACGCUGAGGCACGAAAGCGUGGGGAUCAAACAGGAUUAGAUACCCGAGU